rnacentral:rRNA from 1 species
GAUGAACGCUAGCGGGAGGCCUAACACAUGCAAGCCGAGCGGUAUUUCUUCUUCGGGAGAGAGAGAGCGGCGUACGGGUGCGGAACACGUGUGCAACCUGCCUUUAUCUAGAGGAUAGCAUUUCGAAAGGAAGAUUAAUCCUCUAUAAUAUAUUAAUUGGCAUCAAUUGAUAUUGAAAACUACGGUGGAUAGAGAUGGGCACGAGCAAGAUUAGCUAGUUGGUGAGGUAACGGCUCACCAAGGCAAUGAUCUUUAGGGGGCCUGAGAGGGUGAUCCCCCACACUGGUACUGAGACACGGACCAGACUCCUACGGGAGGCAGCAGUGAGGAAUAUUGGUCAAUGGGUGCAAGCCUGAACCAGCCAUCACGCGUGAAGGAUUAAGGUCCUAUGGAUUGUAAACUUCUUUUGUAUAGGGAUAAACCUACCCUCGUGAGGGUAGCUGAAGGUACUAUACGAAUAAGCACCGGCUAACUCCGUGCCAGCAGCCGCAGUAAAAC